CACCACCACCUUCACAAGGACAAUUAAAGACAAUAAUAAAUGCUGGCCUAGCCAGUGAUACUCACACCCCAUGACACUAUCAAUAAAGAAGUUGAGCCUGUAGAUCUGCUAGUAGGUGAAGCUUUCAAAUGAUGUAAUAUAUAGGUCCAUUAAUCAGGUUUCUCAGCCAUGUGAAUGUCCUAAGGUACAGGUCUAAUUGCAACACUGAUUAGUCUCAGAAAAUCAAAAGACCGUGGCUGAAUGUGCAGAAAUAAUUUUUCAAGUAUAUUGGCUUCAGGCACAAGUGGAUUGAAGUCAUCAUCUCAAAAAUCGCAAUUCCAGCAUUAGAGGAGAUGUCAGUCUAGAGACAGGAGAUGGAGAAGAAUCGAUGAUCAUUGCUUCCCAGGAAAUAUACAGGGAAAAGAUAAUUGUCUCCACAACAGAUGGGAACCAACUGAGAUAUACACUGACAAACUAUAAUGCUGUGAAGAUGUUUCAAAGAUGCUGGUGGACCUGCUGAGUUUCUACAGCAAUUUAUUGUUUCAUUAUUUUAGAGAUUGGAUGAACACCUUGAAAUAUUUGAAGACAAUGAAAAGUGGACAAAGAAUAGCAAUUGAAGAAAUAGGAGAUACCUGCCACUGGAAUUAUUCUUAAAACCCUCAUGUUGCUUCUGUGUAAUCACAAUAAUAAUAUGUUGCAUAGAAAGCCAAACUGUCCUUAAAAUGAAUAAUGGAUUUUACAAAAUAGCCUCAGUAGAAAAAUGACCACCCUUAUGCAUUUCAGCAGAUAUUGGGACCAAACUAAAUUUAUCUCGGAAGAAAUUUCAAAAUUACUUUUUGAAAUUCAAUGAACAUUUCCAAGAAUAAACAGAAACUCUUUGACAGUGGUUCUCCUGAAGGCAUGAACAGUUUUUUCUAUCUCAUCACAACCUGAGAGUGAGAGCCAUCCAAGCAAAUGGAUGACACAAUCAAACUGAUGAAUGCUCAUGCCCAGGACAACUCAACAUCUAAAAUGGCAACAUGAUUCCUGAGUUUUGGAACACCACCCAUUUUAAGUUAGAUUUGUACAGUACAUACCAUGAACAGCCAUUUUGGGUAUAACCCAUGGAAGAACACUGAUAUGCCACAUCAAAAGAGAGAAUUCUCAAUAAGGAGUUCAGAUAAAAGUAGCCCAUCUAAAGAACUGUUGUGUUAAACCAGACUACUGAUGGCACACCCCUUUGUAAAAAUAUGCAUAACCAGUUCUGCUCAGUCCAUCUAUGGGAACAACCUUUAACUAUUUGACCACAUAAGCCAUCACAGCUGCUGUAUUUGACUUUGAUAUCAACCCCAUCACUUCAGAAAGAAUAUGAUCUUAGAGAUUGAUCUUACUUUCAUUUUUAUAAGUAUCCUUUCCCUUAACACCAUUUAAUAUUUGCCUAUCAAUAUUUUUGCUAAUAAUCUAUCACUUUUACUUGAACAGCUAUAACAGUAGUUUUACAAUAAACUAGC